AUUGAACGCUGGCGGCAUGCCUUACACAUGCAAGUCGAACGGCAGCACGGGAGCAAUCCUGGUGGCGAGUGGCGAACGGGUGAGUAAAGUAUCGGAACGUGCCCAGUCGUGGGGGAUAACGUAGCGAAAGUUACGUUAAUACCGCAUACGAACUAUGGAUGAAAGCGGGGGAUCGCAAGACCUCGCGCGAUUGGAGCGGCCGAGAUCAGAUUAGGUAGUUGGUGGGGUAAAGGCUCACCAAGCCGACGAUCAGUAGCUGGUCUGAGAGGACGACCGGCCACACUGGGACUGAGACACGACCCAGACUCCUACGGGAGGCAGCAGUGGGGAAUUUUGGACAAUGGGCGAAAGCCUGAUCCAGCCAUGCCGCGUGCAGGAUGAAGGCCUUCGGGUUGUAAACUGCUUUUGUACGGAACGAAAAGGUUUGGCCUAAUAAGCUGAGCUCAUGACGGUACCGUAAGAAUAAGCACCGGCUAACUACGUGCCAGCCGCCGCCGUAA
rnacentral:rRNA from 1 species